CGGGGUGAGGAAUACAUCGGAAUCUGCCUUGUUGUGGGGGAUAACGUAGGGAAACUUACGCUAAUACCGCAUAAGACCUUAGGGUGAAAGCGGAGGACCUUCGGGCUUCGCGCGACAAGAUGAGCCGAUGUCGGAUUAGCUAGUUGGCGGGGUAAAGGCCCACCAAGGCGACGAUCCGUAGCUGGUCUGAGAGGAUGAUCAGCCACACUGGAACUGAGACACGGUCCAG
rnacentral:rRNA from 1 species